CACGUAGUUGGCCGGUGCUUCUUCUCCCGGUACCGUCACUUACGCUUCGUCCCGGGCGAAAGGGGUUUACAACCCGAAGGCCGUCAUCCCCCACGCGGCGUCGCUGCACCAGGCUUGCGCCCAUUGUGCAAUAUUCCCCACUGCUGCCUCCCGUAGGAGUCUGGGCCGUGUCUCAGUCCCAGUGUGGCCGGUCACCCUCUCAGGCCGGCUACCCGUCGUCGCCUUGGUAGGCCAUCACCCCACCAACAAGCUGAUAGGCCGCGGGCUCAUCCCGUACCGCCGGAGCUUUCCACACACCACCAUGCGAUAGCGUGUCCUAUCCGGUAUUAGACCCAGUUUCCCGGGCUUAUCCCGGAGUACGGGGCAGAUUACCCACGUGUUACUCACCCGUUCGCCACUCAUCCACCCAGCAAGCUGGGCUUCAGCGUUCGACUUGCAUGUGUUAAGCACGCCGCCAGCGUUCGUCCUCGUAGCCAGGAUCAAACUCUA
rnacentral:rRNA from 1 species